GAUGAACGCUGGCGGCGUGCCUAAUACAUGCAAGUCGAGCGAACGGACGAGAAGCUUGCUUCUCUGAUGUUAGCGGCGGACGGGUGAGUAACACGUGGAUAACCUACCUAUAAGACUGGGAUAACUUCGGGAAACCGUAGCUAAUACCGGAUAAUAUUUUGAACCGCAUGGUUCAAAAGUGAAAGACGGUCUUGCUGUCACUUAUAGAUGGAUCCGCGCUGCAUUAGCUAGUUGGUAAGGUAACGGCUUACCAAGGCAACGAUGCAUAGCCGACCUGAGAGGGUGAUAGGCCACACUGGAACUGAGACACGGUCCAGAGUCCUACGAGAGGCAGCAGUAGGGAAUCUUCCGCAGUGGGCGAAAGCCUGACGGAGCAACGCCGCGUGAGUGAUGAAGGUCUUCGGAUCGUAAAACUCUGUUAUUAGGGAAGAACAUAUGUGUAAUUAACUGUGCACAUCUUGACGGUACCUAAUCAGAAAGCCACGGCUAACUACGUG
rnacentral:rRNA from 1 species